rnacentral:lncRNA from 1 species
GCGUCUCGGGCUUUCCCCGCCCGGUCGUCGGCUCCAGCGCCGCCCCCGCGGCUGCCUUCGCUGCUGCCCUCGCUGUCAGGGACCGAGGCCAGGAGACCGCCUGGCACUUCGCCCUGUCCCAAACCUGGGACUCCAGGGGCCUCCUGCUGGGGCCGCGAGCAUCAGACUUUCAGAGCUGAAAUCACUUCAUCAAGAAAUGCCAGUUAACCCUUGCCCAGUUCAGCCUCUUGCUGGGGUUUUGGAGGGGUCACCAGGGAUGCCCCUGGGAAGUUUACCCAAAUCCCCCUGGCUCAAUGAACCGAGACUGCCCCCUUGCCUUUGUUCAUCAGCCCUGCUCUGAUCUCCUGGGUGUCUUCACCUCCUCUGGUUCCUAAGUCGGCUGCUGCACCAGCACCCAUCAAACUCUCCUGGAAGAGGAAGUGACAGCUCACCGGUAGCCUAGAAGGCCCCUGUGGGCAGAAGCAUGGACUUACUCCUCCUCAUGGAGAUGCGGCUGAGCCAUAUUUCCUUGGCACCUCUCUGGAACCUUCGACAACCACCACCUCAGACACUAACCAGACUUUAGGUCCAUUCCUUUCAUGGCUAAAAUGAGACAGUCCACAAUGUUGAUUUUAUUUGUAGGGGAUGUCAGGAUUCCAGAAAAGCAGACUUGGAAAGCAACAAAACGUUAACUUGCAGCUCACUGAGGCCCUUACACUUGUUCUGGGCACCUCUGUAUGUUAAAAGAAGUCCAAUAUCUUUAGCUGCUGGUUAUAGGUGGCCAUAUGUUUCUGCACAGAAAUGGGGCUCCCCUUGCUAGACUAAUUUUCUAAUUUUUCCUCAAGCUUCAUUGAUUCAUAUUCUUCUACUUGACCCUGACUGUCAGGACCAACAACACCAAAUAACACCAAAGUCUCUUGCUCCUGUCCUCAGAACCUCUCAGAGGCAUCCUCUGCCCUGUUGGAGCCAUUUUAUUUCAGGUUGAUCCUUAAUUAAAUUCAGCGAGAUGCA